AGAGUUUGAUCAUGGCUCAGAAUCAACGCUGGCGGCGCGCCUAACACAUGCAAGUCGAACGAGAAAGCAGGAGCAAUCUUGUGAGUAAAGUGGCGUACGGGUGAGUAACACGUGGAUCAUCUACCCUCUAGUGGGGGAUAACCCUGGGAAACCGGGGCUAAUACCGCAUAAGCUCGAGAGAGGAAAGCAGCAAUGCGCUGGAGGAGGAGUCCGCGGCCGAUUAGCUAGUUGGUAGGGUAAAGGCCUACCAAGGCUACGAUCGGUAGCCGGCCUGAGAGGGCACACGGCCACACUGGCACUGAAACACGGGCCAGACUCCUACGGGAGGCAGCAGUGGGGAAUCUUGCACAAUGGGGGCAACCCUGAUGCAGCGACGCCGCGUGAGCGAUGAAGCCCUUCGGGGUGUAAAGCUCUUUCGGCAGGGAAGAUUAUGACGGUACCUGCAGAAGCAGCUGCGGCUAACUACGUGCCAGCAGCCGCGGUAAUACGUAGGCAGCAAGCGUUGUUCGGAGUUACUGGGCGUAAAGGGUGUGUAGGCGGUUCUCUAAGUCUGGUGUGAAAUCUCCCGGCUCAACUGGGAGGGUGCGCCGAAAACUGGAGGGCUAGAGUGCGGGAUGGGAGAGUGGAAUUCCUGGUGUAGCGGUGAAAUGCGUAGAUAUCAGGAGGAACACCUGUGGUGUAGACGGCUCUCUGGACCGCAACUGACGCUGAGACACGAAAGCGUGGGUAGCAAACAGGAUUAGAUACCCCCGUAGUCC
rnacentral:rRNA from 1 species